UACGUAGGGUGCAAGCGUUAAUCGGAAUUACUGGGCGUAAAGCGUGCGCAGGCGGUCCGUUAAGACAGAUGUGAAAUCCCCGGGCUCAACCUGGGAACUGCAUUUGUGACUGCAUAGCUAGAGUACGGUAGAGGGGGAUGGAAUUCCGCGUGUAGCAGUGAAAUGCGUAGAUAUGCGGAGGAACACCGAUGGCGAAGGCAAUCCCCUGGACCUGUACUGACGCUCAUGCACGAAAGCGUGGGGAGCAAACAGG
rnacentral:rRNA from 1 species